UGAAAGGCUUUAACCCAAACACCUAACCCCUGCCAAAGCUCACUGAGUGGUGCUGCUUGCACCCGGCCACCAGAAAUUCUUCUACCCCUCCUUUUAAAUAAAUGAAAAUCUGCCCUUGUUAGAAAUGUUGUAGCAUUCCAAAUUUACCUCAUGAUUAGUGUAUCAGUGACUCACUUAAAUUCCGGCAGCUUGUGGGCAACAUUUUUGUUGCCAACAAGCUGUGUAAAACUAUAUAGUAGUUUUACAUAGUUCUAAACAGACAAUGGU